CGCUGGCGGCAGGCUUAACACAUGCAAGUCGAGCGCACCUUCGGGUGAGUGGCGGACGGGUGAGUAACGCGUGGGAAUCUGCCUUCUAGUGGGGGAUAGCCCGGAGAAAUCCGGAUUAAUACCGCAUACGCCCUACGGGGGAAAGCCGGGGAUCUUCGGACCUGGCGCUAGUAGAUGGGCCCGCGUGAGAUUAGCUUGUUGGUGGGGUAAUGGCCUACCAAGGCAACGAUCUCUAGCUGGUCUGAGAGGACGAUCAGCCACACUGGGACUGAGACACGGCCCAGACUCCUACGGGAGGCAGCAGUGGGGAAUAUUGGACAAUGGGCGAAAGCCUGAUCCAGCAAUGCCGCGUGUGUGAAGAAGGCCUGAGGGUUGUAAAGCACUUUCAAUCGUGAAGAAAAGUUGCAGGCUAAUACCCUGUGACCUUGACGUUAACGAUACAAGAAGCACCGGCUAACUCCGUG
rnacentral:rRNA from 1 species